CCGGCUAACUCCGUGCCAGCAGCCGCGGUAAUACGGAGGGUGCGAGCGUUAAUCGGAAUUACUGGGCGUAAAGACGCAUGCAGGUGGUUUGUUAAGUUCAGAUGUGAAAGCCCGGGGCUCAACCUCGGAAUAGCAUUUGAAACUGGCAGACUAGAGUACUGUAGAGGGGGGUAGGAAUUUCAGGUGUAGCGGUGAAAUGCGUAGAGAUCUGAAGGAAUACCGGUGGCGAAGGCGGCCCCCUGGACAGAUACUGACACUCAGAUGCGAAAGCGUGGGGAGCAAACAGGAUUAGAUACCCUGGUAG
rnacentral:rRNA from 1 species